rnacentral:rRNA from 1 species
GAUGAACGCUGGCGGCGUGCCUAAUACAUGCAAGUCGAGCGAACAGACGCGGAGCUUGCUCCUUUCACGUUAGCGGCGGACGGGUGAGUCACGUGUGGAUACUCUCCCUAUCAUACUGGGAUCACUUCGGGACACCGGCGCUUAUCCCGGAUAAUCUCUUGAACCGCAUGGUUCAUUGGUGAAAGUCGGUUUUGCUGUCACUUAUAGCUGGAUCCCCGCCGGUGUAGCUGGUUGGUGAGGUACCGGCCUACCAAGGCAACGAGGCGUAGCCGAGUUGAGAGAGGGAUCGGCCACACGGGAGCGGAGACGCGGACCAGGCGCCUACGGGAGGCAGCAGUAUGCAAUCGUACGCAAUGGUCGAAAGCCUGACGGAGCAACGCCGCGUGAGAGAUGAAGGUCCUCGGAGCGUAAAACUCUGUUAUUAGUUAAGAACAAAUGUGUAAGUAACUAUGCACUGCGUGACGGUACCUAAUCAGAAAGCCACGGCUAACUACGUG